CAACUUUAUACAGGAGAGAUAUGUUGGACAGUCACCCUUAUUUAAACAUCAAGGCAAACUGACGCUAUCUAUUCUGCGCUGUUUGCCAACCGGCAGGCAGCAAUCCUUU
rnacentral:ncRNA from 1 species